UGCAAGUCGAGCGGACAGAAGGGAGCUUGCUCCCGGAUGUUAGCGGCGGACGGGUGAGUAACACGUGGGUAACCUGCCUGUAAGACUGGGAUAACUCCGGGAAACCGGAGCUAAUACCGGAUAGUUCCUUGAACCGCAUGGUUCAAGGAUGAAAGACGGUUUCGGCUGUCACUUACAGAUGGACCCGCGGCGCAUUAGCUAGUUGGUGAGGUAACGGCUCACCAAGGCGACGAUGCGUAGCCGACCUGAGAGGGUGAUCGGCCACACUGGGACUGAGACACGGCCCAGACUCCUACGGGAGGCAGCAGUAGGGAAUCUUCCGCAAUGGACGAAAGUCUGACGGAGCAACGCCGCGUGAGUGAUGAAGGUUUUCGGAUCGUAAAGCUCUGUUGUUAGGGAAGAACAAGUGCAAGAGUAACUGCUUGCACCUUGACGGUACCUAACCAGAAAGCCACGGCUAACUACGUGCCAGCAGCCGCGGUAAUACGUAGGUGGCAAGCGUUGUCCGGAAUUAUUGGGCGUAAAGGGCUCGCAGGCGGUUUCUUAAGUCUGAUGUGAAAGCCCCCGGCUCAACCGGGGAGGGUCAUUGGAAACUGGGAAACUUGAGUGCAGAAGAGGAGAGUGGAAUUCCACGUGUAGCGGUGAAAUGCGUAGAGAUGUGGAGGAACACCAGUGGCGAAGGCGACUCUCUGGUCUGUAAC
rnacentral:rRNA from 1 species